AUGCUUCUAGGUCAUAUUGUACUACUCUCUUCCAAGUCAGUUUAGGUCUACCCCUUCUUUUCUUUCUAUCCUCUAACCUAAUGUGCUCUACUUGUCUAACUGAAGCCUCCGUAUGUCUACGCUUCACAUGACCAAACCAUCUCAAUCUCCCUUCUUUCAAUUUAUCCUCAAUUGGCAUCACUACUACCUUUUUUCUAAUACUCUCAUUACGGAUUUUAUCUAGUCUUGUAUAGCCACUCAUCGACCUUAAUAUUCUUAUCUCCGCAACUCUUAUCUUAGACACAUAUGACUCAUUCAGUGCCCAAUACUCACUACCAUAUAACAUGGCCGGUCGUAUGGCUGUACAGUAAAAUUCUCCUUUCAACUUAUUGAGAAUCUUGCGAUCACAUAAAACUCCCGUGGCACUUCUCCACUUCAACUAUCCGGCUUUAAUCCUAUGAUUAACAUCCUCCUCACAUCCCCCAUCUACUUGAAGGAUUAAGUCAAGAUAUUUAAAGGGAUUACUUUGGGGCAUUACCACUCCAUCCAAACUAACUCAUUCCCUAUCACCAGUUCGGCCUUCACUGAACUUGCAAUGCAUGUAUUUUGUCUUCGUUCUACUUAACUUAAAGCCCUUUGACUUUAGAGUACUUCUCUAAAGUUCUAGCUUUCUAUUAACUCCUUCUCGCGUCUCAUCUAUCAGAACUAUAUCAUCCACAAAUAUCAUGCACCAAGGGAUACUCUCUUGUAUAUGUUUCAUCAAUUCAUCUAAAACUAAUAUGAAAAGGUAAGAGCUUAUAGCUGAACCUUGGUGUAAUCUAACUGAGAUAGUAGAGGGCUUAAUAUUGUACCAACUAAUCUAUUAAGUUUUUUAUUGUAGGCCUUCAUAAGGACUGCAGGAAAGAUCCUUCAGAAUAUCCAGGAAGGCGUGUUCGAUGUAUCCAAUGAGUCUUCAGGUAUCAAGGUAGGAUAUGGACGCCCCCAGGGCUCAUCAGGAGCUAGAGAUGGAGCUGUUGCUGAGAGAGGAGGAUGUUGUAGCUAACUAAAACACAAAUAUAAUCUGUAUCGUAUUUGAUUAUUUUCCGCACUCCUGUGAACAUAUGUUUACAACUGUUGCAUGAAUUCUGGUUGACAUUUAAUGUAUAGAUCCAACAUUUGUUGUUCCUUGGACCACAUUGAAUUUAAUUGAUAGGGAUUCAAAUCUUUUGAGUGCUUGGAAGUUUCCUUAUUCAGCACUGUUGUACUUUU